AGAAUGCCAGUCACGGAGUGGGAGGAAGUGUGAGUUUGGUACUUAGGGCCAGCUCGGGAAAUCCCCAGGUGAGGUUUUCCUAGCUCUUGGCCAGACUUCCUGCUGGAGCCUCGAAGGCAAUUGGCAAGAUCAGUGUCACUUUAAGAUCAGUGUCUCUGAUAUUCUCAUCUCCCUCUCUCCCAAUCUCGGGAGACUCGGACUUCUCGGACUCACAGAAUUCGUACGUUUAUGCUCUGGGUUGUGUGGGAGAGAAGGCCUUCUCUAGCAGUGUCCUGCACAAAUUGGGCUCCACGAGCAAAAGGGAUUGGAUCUGGUUCACAGGAUCCUGCUGGUUCCACUGGGGUCUAUCUCUAUUAUCCAGUACACAGUCUUUCUAGAUCAAGAAUCUGAGUGUCCCUCUGUGAGAUGCUCUGCCUGAGAGUUUCCCAAGAUGUUGGACAGGGCGACAAGCAUGUCAAGGUUCAACUGGAGGACGUUCUGUUUCCAACCUCAUUCACAUGGCUGCUAGCUGGCUUCCGAUCUUCAAUGCCUUUUGGCUGUAGAUAUCAGUUGUUUGACACGUGGAUCUCUCCAUAGGGUCCUAGGAAUAAAGAGGAAGAAAGUUUGUGGCACACAGAAUUCAGUUUUUUGUAGCCUAAUGUCAAAAGUGACAUUCCAUCAUUUUGUUGUAUUCUAUGCAUUAGAAGUUAGUUACCAGGUCCAGCCCGUGCUCCUACGUGCAAAAUACAUUCACCCUCCCAAAAGCCCCAAACAUCUAAUCCCACUAAAACAUCAGCUCCUAGUGUGGAAUCUUACCAGAUAAUUCAGGUUCAUAGGUGGAUGUUUCUUUGGACAUAGUUCUUUAAGUACAGUUUCUCUAGGUAUACAGAUGUGAGAAAUUAAGGAGACAAGCUUCCCAUAAACAAAAUGUACACUGUCAUACGAAUGAGGAGAAAUGGAUUUUUGUCCACACUGUUUAUCUUUGGGUCUUUAAGGUCUCAAAAAUUUUAAGAUCCUUGACCU